GACGAACCGUGCGAACGUUGUUCGGAAUCACUGGGCUUAAAGGGCGCGUAGGCGGGCACAAAAGUCAGAGGUGAAAGCCCCCGGCUCAACCGGGGAAGUGCCUUUGAUACUGUGUGUCUCGAGGGGGAUAGGGGCGUGCGGAACUUCCGGUGGAGCGGUGAAAUGCGUAGAUAUCGGAAGGAACACCGGUGGCGAAAGCGGCGCGCUGGAUCCCUUCUGACGCUGAGGCGCGAAAGCCAGGGGAGCGAACGGG
rnacentral:rRNA from 1 species